rnacentral:rRNA from 1 species
AUACGGAGGGUGCGAGCGUUAAUCGGAAUUACUGGGCGUAAAGCGUACGUAGGCGGUUUGCUAAGUCAGAUGUGAAAGCCCCGGGCUUAACCUGGGAACUGCAUUUGAUACUGGCAGACUAGAGUAUGAUAGAGGGGGGUAGAAUUCCUGGUGUAGCGGUGAAAUGCGUAGAUAUCAGGAGGAAUACCAGUGGCGAAGGCGGCCCCCUGGAUCAAUGCUGACGCUGAGGUACGAAAGCGUGGGGAGCGAACAGGAUUAGAAACCCUAGUAGUCC